UCGAUGCUCAUGCUGUUGAUCACUGGAUUGUCUGGUCCAGGCUCGAUUAUUUACAGCUUUCAUACAGCUGGAAUGUUGCUGAGUGCUGCGUAAAACUUAACUCACUCACUCACUUCAGUGUCCUUCUUUGUGACACAUUACUGUGUUACCAGUCUAAAGGCUGACCAGCUACAGGAACAGAGCAGACCUUACUAUUUUCACGCUGUAUAAACGUAUUAACUAGCCCCACUACACCUCAUCAGAAUACUGUAGGGACUUGUUAAAGUUCAUAAUAGAGCAACAUUUGACUGAUAUUUUCACAGGCGAGCAAUUUGAGCUUUUUAAACUCUGUAAGAGGUACUUUUGACUCAAGUAACCAUUUUUUCCUAUCAAAACAAUGUUGUUCCAUUCCUCAAUUUGUAGCAAGCAAAUUAAUACCUAGAUUGUACGAGGAAUGAAGAAACAAUGAGUUACCUCGAUACACUGUACAUCAUUGUUUGUGAUGUCAAAUCUAGUUGUGAUACCUUGGUGGUAAAAGCAGUCAGGAAAUAUCACAUGAUUUUUGUGUUAUGCGUCGACAAUCUGGCAUAUACUUUCUUAAUGCAACAUUCCACCCUUGUGAUAUUUGAUACCUGUAGAAUAAACUUGGUAUACUGCUGAAGUUACAUGUCUGUAUGUCCCCCAUCCCAAGUGAUGGGGGUGAAGCUAUUGAAUGUACUUGAUAUGCUUAACAUGCUGAAGUUAGAUGUCUGUAUGUCCCCCAUCCCAAGUGAUGGGGGUGAAGCUAUUGAAUGUAUUUGAUAUGCUUAACAUGCUGAAGUUAGAUGUCUGUAUGUCCCCCAUCCCAAGUGAUGGGGUGAAGCUAUUGAAUGUAUUUGAUAUGCUUAACAUGCUGAAGUUAGAUGUCUGUAUGUCCCCCAUCCCAAGUGAUGGGGGUGAAGCUAUUGAAUGUAUUUGAUAUGCUUAACAUGCUGAAGUUAGAUGUCUGUAUGUCCCCAUCCCAUGUGAUGGGGGUGAAGCUAUUGAAUGUAUUUGAUAUGCUUAACAUGCUGAAGUUAGAUGUCUGUAUGUCCCCCAUCCCAAGUGAUGGGGUGAAGCUAUUGAAUGUAUUUGAUAUGCUUAACAUGCUGAAGUUAGAUGUCUGUAUGUCCCCCAUCCCAAGUGAUGGGGGUGAAGCUAUUGAAUGUAUUUGAUAUGCUUAACAUGCUGAAGUUAGAUGUCUGUAUGUCCCCCAUCCCAUGUGAUGGGGAUGGAGCUAUUGAAUGUAUUUGAUAUGCUUAACAUGCUGAAGUUAGAUGUCUGUAUGUCCCCCAUCCCAUGUGAUAGUGAUGGGGAUGGAGCUAUUGAAUGUAUUUGAUAUGCUUAACAUGCUGAAGUUAGAUGUCUGUACGUCCCUAAUCCCAUGUGUUGGGGAUGGAGCAAUUGGAUCUGAAUUACAACAGCAUUUUUGAGGUGCAGUUCUGUUAUCUUUACACUGUGUUGAAUCAGAUGUUAAUUGAUUUAUCAUCAUUUUACUGAUGAGGCUUAUAUUUUCGAUUCUGAUCACAGAAUUUCUUAUAACUGACUAUAUUAAUUUUUAUGUGACUUUACUGAACCAUAGUAUCUUCACUGAGUAGUUGGGUGUCCAUAUUAAUCUAGAGGCCAGGGCCUAGAUUUUCGAAGCUCUCUUAGAGCUAAGAUAGUCGUAAGCGCCAUACAUUUACAUUAAGUUACGACAAUCGUAGCGAAAUCUAGGCCCUGGUAACAUUAUCAAUCAUGUCACAGUGCAUAUAAUCAGAAGAAAUUCCCAUACGUAUCCUACUUAGCAAGUAGUCUCUUUAUAGCUCUCUGCUGAUUUUGUCCUAUCAGUUCUUGCUUUUACUCACUACUCACUUUAUGCCAUCCUUGAUAAUCUCCAGGGUAUAAGUUUUCAUAAAACUGCAUUAGUACCCAGGAUGCAUCCAAGACUCAUAUUACCUCUGUUUGCUGUAUUUUUAUCCAAUCAGGUGUCUACGCUGGGAAGCUGAGAGAUGCUGGGAAGUUGAGAGGACCAAUCACAAGUCUUCUAUCAUAACUCACUCCCGCUUCUUUAUCUAACCGAUUAAACUUGGCAACACAAUUGUUGCAGAGGUACCCUGAAAGAGGUAGAAGAGUUCUUGCAUACACAUGUAUAUUUUUGAAGGUUUCAGACCUGUCAAUUUGUCUGUAUGAUUUUUUCUCUAAAUCUGAGGAGCACAGCAAGCUAACCUUCCCGGCUGCGGCCACCAUCUUUGUUGGCACUGGCAAGCUCGGCUGAUAAGGCUUACCUGAUUGGCUGCUGUGAGAAGGCGGACCCAGCAAAGGGAGGUAAUGCAAUUAUCGGGUCGAGCAGUAGGUGCAUCCAGGUUGCUAGUGGAGAUUUAUCAGAGAUAGCGAGUAUGAUUGUAUGAGUGUUAUUGUAAAUUUGACAUGCAGCAGGUUUGUGGUGUGAGGACUUACAUAUGUUUCUUUACAUGGUUUAAUGUUUCACUAUUUUGAAAUAACCCUGUUAUUGUACAUUUUUUGCAUUUUCAACAGCUUUUUUAUGAAGUGCAUUUCUGAACCUCCUAAUUUGGGUGCAUGUAUUUUUAAGAAGGUGAAAUGAUUUUAAUAUGAUCGAUGGAGGUUCUACAACCUACUAGUAACUGCUGUUCCCAUCCCAUUUUGAUGCAUCAGGGCAGCCAUAUUGAAUUUGUUAUUACCAGGUUAUUGAAAUAAUCCUGUUGUGUUGAAGCUCCUUUCAUUCUUAUUGCUAUAUGCUUUAUGUAUUUUUACAUUCCUACAGAAAAUGUAAUCCAUUGUUUCCUACAAACCCCAGGAAUAUCUGUUUCCAAUGUCCUGUUUCAUAAGGUACAUACAUGAAGUAUAUUAUUGUUACUAUUGAUGUGGUAAACAGCAAUGUGUGGUUGUUGCUGCUUGGGUUAUCUCCUGUAUAUAUCCAGGUUGGAUGUUUACAAUUACAUGAAGUAUUUUGGUAUAACAUUGGUGUUUGUAAUGUUUAUGGGUAAUCUCGUUGUAUUCAUCCAUUUUGGGUGUUUACAAUUUAAUAAAGUAUAUUGGUAUAAUUUUUGGGUUUCUUAUGUUUCUGUGUGAUCUUGUUGUCACUUCAUCCAGGUUGGAUGUUUACAAUGUUAUAAAGUAUUUUUGUAUAA
rnacentral:lncRNA from 1 species